rnacentral:rRNA from 1 species
GGGGAAUUGUGUUUGGGUUGGACAAAGCGCAGGGAAAUUUUGGCUGAGGUUGGAGGUUAUAGUGAAGAACAAAUA